rnacentral:rRNA from 1 species
UGGCGGCGUGCCUAAUACAUGCAAGUCGAACGGUCUUUCUAUGGAAGCUUGCUUCCACUGAGAAGAUAGUGGCGAACGGGUGAGUAACACGUGGGUAACCUGCCCAUAAGAGGGGGAUAACAUCCGGAAACGGGUGCUAAUACCGCAUAGUUUUCUUGAUCGCAUGAUCGGGAAAGGAAAGACGGCCUUUGUGCUGUCGCUUAUGGAUGGACCCGCGGCGUAUUAGUUAGUUGGUGAGGUAACGGCUCACCAAGACGAUGAUACGUAGCCGACCUGAGAGGGUGAUCGGCCACAUUGGGACUGAGACACGGCCCAAACUCCUACGGGAGGCAGCAGUAGGGAAUCUUCCGCAAUGGACGAAAGUCUGACGGAGCAACGCCGCGUGAGUGAAGAAAAGGGUUUUCGGAUCGUAAAACUCUGUUGUCAGAGAAGAACAAGUUGGAGAGUAACUGCUCCAGCCUUGACGGUAUCUGACCAGAAAGCCACGGCUAACUACGUGCCAGCCGCCGC